AAAAACGUCGUUAAGACUGCAGUGCUUUAAGUGCGCAGUUAAAAAUUCGCUAAACAUGCGCAGUAAGACAGGCAGUGGAGGUCGUAGUGUCGUACGCCGUUCUUAUGUAGUUAUGUUACUUAUUACUUAUUAGUUAUUAUAAACGAAUGGUUUACGCUCUCCGCACACGUAUGCCACGUGUAUAAGUUAAACAAAGUAUUAUAAUUACUUGGUUCUUAGACAGUUUCAAAACAAUCUAAUAUAGAUGAUGGUCGGCGACGGACGCUGCAUCGACCACGACGAAUGUAACAGCUGUUGUGUAUAGGUUUGUUUUUUCCACUGUUGAGGAAGGUACUAUUUCGUGUUUUUCCGAUGUUGUGUCGAUGAUAUGCACAACACCAUGAUUUGUUGGAUAUAUAUGUGCAUAGAUGGAACUCCGCACGUCGGAAAAUCGCAGCCGCCGGUCGAAUUAUCGUUGCGUGAUUGCGUCGAAUUUAAGAGCAGCCGGAUUUCCCCUCGACCUCACGCAAUAACGACUACUUCCGCGGCGAACACGCCACCCCCGCCGCAAAGUAGAUUAACGUUUUCGGGCUGUUUGUAUAUAUGUAAACUAAAUUCCUGGACACGAAAUUACAAUGACGACGACCCCCCAGCCGAGACGAUCAUCAUGAUGUAUAUUAUAAAAUAUACAGUACCUACGACGAUAAAUAUCCAGGGACACGCCUAACACACAUGCACAUUGGCGGAACUUGGUAACAUUUUAGAGGAGACAAACUGUAUAUUUUUCAUGUACAAAACAAAAUCUAUAUUCUAAGAAACAUCCUUGUAACGGUUAACACAAGAAGAAAAAUUGAUUAUCAUACAAUUUUCGACCUAAUAAUCACGAAUUUGUUACGAUUAUAAUUUAUAAUUGAUACUUAUGGAUAUUUUUUUAUUCAGUUCACCGUUUUUACAGUAUGAUAUGCAUUACAACUACGGACCGAUGUAGCCGGAUUCUAUGAGAAAACAAUCGUCGUCCAAUUAUGAUAAGUAUACAAACUAACCUG